rnacentral:rRNA from 1 species
AUGAACGCUGGCGGCGUGCCUAAUCCAUGCAAGUCGAGCGAACGGACGAGAAGCUUGCUUCUCUGAUGUUAGCGGCGGACGGGUGAGUAACACGUGGAUAACCUACCUAUAAGACUGGGAUAACUUCGGGAAACCGGAGCUAAUACCGGAUAAUAUUUUGAACCGCAUGGUUCAAAAGUGAAAGACGGUCUUGCUGUCACUUAUAGAUGGAUCCGCGCUGCAUUAGCUAGUUGGUAAGGUAACGGCUUACCAAGGCAACGAUGCAUAGCCGACCUGAGAGGGUGAUCGGCCACACUGGAACUGAGACACGGUCCAGACUCCUACGGGAGGCAGCAGUAGGGAAUCUUCCGCAAUGGGCGAGAGCCUGACGGAGCAACGCCGCGUGAGUGAUGAAGGUCUUCGGAUCGUAAAACUCUGUUAUUAGGGAAGAACAUAUGUGUAAGUAACUGUGCACAUCUUGACGGUACCUAAUCAGAAAGCCACGGCUAACUACGUG